CCUCAUACCCUUGGAUCAAAAUGAACAUGAUUUUCUGUGACAAGACAUCAAAGAUAGAGAGGCAGUGAGAAGGCCACACAUUGAUCACAGCCAUGUUGAAGGUUACUGUGGUUAUCACAUAAGAGUAUACUGACUGGAGCCAUAUCUGUCUGGUACGGUAACAGCUCCUGUGGGGACUGACGAGCCCUGCAGAGGGUGGUGAGGACUGCUGAGCGGACCAUGGGUACCACACUUCCCCUUCUGCAUGACUUAUACACCAAACGCUGUACCAACAGUGCCAGAAGGAUUAUCAAGGAUCCACAUCACACCUGCACUGUCAUAAAACACGCACAGAGAGGAUGAGGAACAGUUUUUUCCCUGCAGCAAUCAGAGCCCUGUACUCUGCACUCUGAACAAAAAAAAUAAAUACAUAAAAAAAAG